rnacentral:lncRNA from 1 species
GUUUUAUUAUCCCUGCUUUAACAGAGGGAGGACUUGAAUCUCGAGUUAAAGUAAUUUGCUCAGGAUUGUAAGGUCUUUUGUGAAGACUUUGAAGUUGCAGGUUCAUUCUGCCGCCAUAUACGUAACAUUCUAAGGGUUUCACUGGUGCCUUGAGAACCUUUGACACCUGUUUGCAGCUCGAAAGUCCAUGGAGCACCUUUAUGACCAAUAAAAGAGAAGGACCAAUGUAUAAAUAUUUUUUUCUUCUCUGAGGAUGGGCAAUUCUGAGAUGCAUUGCAUAAAGCAUCAAGUUAAUAUUUAAUCAGUUGAAGUAUAAGAUAUUGCAACUCCCACAUACCUGGCUUAAGGCAGGAUACAAAGGCAUAGAAUAGAAAUUGAAUCUGAGAACAUCCAAAAAGAUGUCAUGAGUCUCAUUGUUUUAUGGACUCUGGCCAUAAAACAAUGAGACUCGUGAAGGUAUAAAAAUCAUGAAUAAUUUUCAUAAUUCUCCUUCUCCAAGGCCCCAAAUAAAUCCUUUCACUUCCUGAAGGAACCAAUUGACUUUUUCUUUUUCUCAAGAUUGUCAAGAGAGAUUUUUAUCCUCCCAGACUUGAAUGUCUUCUGAUUAGAGAAAUAUCUGCCCAAAAAACGUCAAAAAAGGAGAAAAAGAAGAACCUAAGGAACAUGAACGUGUCAUAGAAAUUUCUCUGGGUGGUAACCCAGCCUCAAACGGACCAACUGUGUGCAAAGCUGUUCCCCAUUUUCCUAAAGGAACAAUGCUGCUCUUAAUAGUACUUAUUUUUCAGGGGGCCCAAUUUCAGAUAUGUUGGUUUUGGCAGGCUUCUGCUAAAGCUGUAUUUUUUUCCUACUGAAUUACAGUAAGAACUAAGUAUUAGAGGCUGUAAUUAAAGGUUGGUGAGGCAAAACUGGAAAUGUGCUCAAUGGGCUGCACUCAGAUCCAACUGAUCCGGAUACAUCAAAAUAUUGGUCAAAACUCCCCAUUUAUGAAUCAGCUCAGUUCUGGACUGAAGAGAAGCUUUUGAGACCCUCUGGAUGCUUUCUCCCAGGUUCUCUGUUAUGGGUUGAAUUGUCAUAGGUCUUCAUAAAGGUUAUUAAGUUAUAAUAAGGCCAAAUGGUUGAGGCCCUAAUUCAGUAUGUCUAGUAUUGCUAGACAUAAGAACAAAAGACACCAGGAUGUGCACAUACGGAGGAAGGGCCAUGUGAAGACACAGGAAGAAGCCGUCAUCUGCGAGCCAAGGAGAGAUGCCCCAAGAGGAACCAAACCUAAUGACACUAUGAUCAUGGACUUCUAGUCUUCGAACUGUGAAACAAUCAAUCUCUGUUUUUUCAGCCACCCAGUCUGUGGUAUUUUGUUCUGGCAGCCCUAGCUGACUUGGAUAGUCUCCCAUGGUGAAGGUGCCCUGUGGGCCAGGCAGAGAUUCUUGUUCCCAGAGCAUGGCACGGCCUUUCCUGUCUACUGGCUUUUGCAUGUGAUACUCAUGUCAGUAGGAUACCCUCCUUUAUUUCUUCACAUAUCCAAAUCCUACUGUCUUUCCAUGGAAAGGGAAAGCCCCUACACUACUGGUAAACUGGUAAGCAUAAGCUUUUAUAGACCUUAUGAGGAGAAAAUUUGAUAAUACCUAUUAAGAGCCUUAGAAUGUUUAUCCUCAGAUAGAGUGACUCCAUUUUCUGGAAUUUAUCUUAAAAAAGUAUUAAAGAUGUGUCCAAAGAUUAAGCUAUAUGGAUGCUCAUCAAAAUAUUUUGAGUACUGCAAAACUGGAAAUAUCUAAAUGACCAACAGAAGAUAAGGUAACAAACUCGUUAAAAUGAUGCUGCUUAAGUUUAUUAUUGCAGAAAUAUGCUAAAUAAAGCAUGGUAUUAAGAAAAAAGCAAGUAAUAUAAUUUUAAUACAUAUAUUCAUAUAGAAAUAGUUCUGCAAAAAUAUAUGCU